rnacentral:rRNA from 1 species
AGCGCACAUGGUGGAUGCCAUGGCGUCAGGAGGCUAAGAAGGACGUGCUAAUCUGCGAAAAGCUCAGGCAAGCCGAUAAGGGGCGCAAUAACCUGAGAUAUCCGAAUGGGGAAACCCGACAGCAAUGUCAUCUAUACCUUAAGGUAUAGAAGCGAACCAGGGGAAGUGAAACAUCUCAGUACCCUGAGGAAAAGAAAUCAACCGAGAUUUCCCAAGUAGCGGCGAGCGAACGGGAAAGAGCCCAAAAGUAUAAUAUGUUCAAGUAGAACUGCAUGGAAAGGCAGAGGGGACAGAGUGAUACUCUCGUAUACGUAAGAGCAUAAUAUAUGAGCGUGAGUAGGGCGGGACACGUGGUAUCCUGUCUGAAUAUGGGGGGACCAUCCUCCAAGGCUAAAUACUCCUGACUGACCGAUAGUGAACCAGUACCGUGAGGGAAAGGCGAAAAGAACCCCGGCGAGGGGAGUGAAAAAGAACCUGAAACCGUGUACGUACAAGCAGUGGGAGCACGCUUAGGCGUGUGACUGCGUACCUUUUGUAUAAUGGGUCAGCGACUUAUAUUCUGUAGCAAGGUUAACCGAAUAGGGGAGCCGAAGGGAAACCGAGUCUUAACUGGGCGUUAAGUUGCAGGGUAUAGACCCGAAACCCGGUGAUCUAGCCAUGGGCAGGUUGAAGGUUGGGUAACACUAACUGGAGGACCGAACCGACUAAUGUUGAAAAAUUAGCGGAUGACUUGUGGCUGGGGGUGAAAGGCCAAUCAAACCGGGAGAUAGCUGGUUCUCCCCGAAAGCUAUUUAGGUAGCGCCUCGUGAAUUCAUCUCCGGGGGUAGAGCACUGUUUCGGCAAGGGGGUCAUCCCGACUUACCAACCCGAUGCAAACUGCGAAUACCGGAGAAUGUUAUCACGGGAGACACACGGCGGGUGCUAACGUCCGUCGUGAAGAGGGAAACAACCCAGACCGCCAGCUAAGGUCCCAAAGUCAUGGUUAAGUGGGAAACGAUGUGGGAAGGCCCAGACAGCCAGGAUGUUGGCUUAGAAGCAGCCAUCAUUUAAAGAAAGCGUAAUAGCUCACUGGUCGAGUCGGCCUGCGCGGAAGAUGUAACGGGGCUCAAAUCAGACACCGAAGCUGCGGAUUUGUACUUAGGUACAAGUGGUAGGGGAGCGUUGUGUAAGCCUGAGAAGAUGUACUGGAAGGUAUGUUGGAGGUAUCACAAGUGCGAAUGCUGACGCAAGUAACGAUAAAACGAGUUAAAUGCUCGUUCGCCGGAAGACCAAGGUUUCCUGUCCAACGUUAAACGGGGCAGGGUUAGUCGGAACCUAAGGCGAGGAUGAAAAUCGUAGUCGAAGGGAAACGGGUUAAUAUUCCCGUACUUGGAUAUGUUGCGAUGAGGUGACGGAGGAGGUAAGGUUAGCCAGCCGAUGGUUGUGCUGGUGAAAGGCAGUAGGUAGUAAGAAGGGUUAAAAGACUUUUUACGAUAAUCUGAGAGCCGAGACGAAUUAACUACGGUUAAGAAGUAACCCUAUCCAGACUUCCAGGAAAAGCCUCUAAGCUCCAGACAUAUACAAUCCGUACCCCAAACCGACACAGGUGGUCGGGUAGAAGAUACCAAGGCGCUUGGGAGAACCCGGGUGAAGGAACUAGGCAAAAUUGUACCGUAACUUCGGGAGAAGGUACGCUGUGGUUUGUAAUAAGAUUAACUCUUAGAGCGAACUGCAGCCGCAGAUAAAUGGUGGCUGGGACUGUUUAACAAAAACAUAGCACUCUGCAAACCUGAAAGGGGAAGUAUAGGGUGUGACACCUGCCCGGUGCCGGAAGGUUAAAUGAUGAGGUUAGAGCAAUCGAAGCCUCUGAGUGAAGCCCCGGUAAACGGCGGCCGUAACUAUAACGGUCCUAAGGUAGCGAAAUUCCUUGUCGGGCAAGUUCCGACCUGCACGAAUGGUGUAACCAUGGCCACGCUGUCUCCACCCGGGACCCAGUGAAACCGAAAUCGCUGUGAAGAUGCAGUGUACCCGCGGCUAGACGGAAAGACCCCGUGAACCUUUACUGCAGCUUGACACUGAACCUUGAACCUGUUUGUGCAGGAUAGGCGGGAGACUUUGAAGUAGAGACGCCAGUCUUUAUGGAGUCGACCUUGAAAUACCGCCCUGAUAUGUUUGAGGUUCUAACUUGAAGGUAACAGCCUUAAGGACAGUGUCUGGUGGGAAGUUUGACUGGGGCGGUCUCCUCCCAAAGAGUAACGGAGGAGCACGAAGGUCGGCUGAUCACGGUCGGAAACCGUGAGGUCAGUGCAAUGGCAAAAGCCGGCUUGACUGCGAGAGCAACAACUCGAGCAGGUGCGAAAGCAGGUCAUAGUGAUCCGGUGGUUCCAUAUGGACGGGCCAUCGCUCAACGGAUAAAAGGUACUCUGGGGAUAACAGGCUGAUACCGCCCAAGAGUUCAUAUCGACGGCGGUGUUUGGCACCUCGAUGUCGGCUCAUCACAUCCUGGGGCUGAAGUUGGUCCCAAGGGUAUGGCUGUUCGCCAUUUAAAGUGGUACGCGAGCUGGGUUCAAAACGUCGUGAGACAGUUUGGUCCCUAUCUACCGCGGGCGUUGGAUGAUUGAAGGGGAUUGCUCCUAGUACGAGAGGACCGGAGUGAACGAGCCUCUGGUUUACGGGUUGUCAUGCCAAUGGCACGGCCCGGCAGCCAAGCCCGGAACUGAUAACCGCUGAAAGCAUCUAAGCGGGAAGCAGGCCCUAAGAUGAGUCAUCCCUGACUUUAAGUCAAUAAAGACCGUUGAAGACUACGACGUUGAUAGGCUGGAUGUGGAAGCACCGUGAGGUGUGUAGCUUGCCAGUACUAAUUGUCUGAACGUCUUGACC